rnacentral:rRNA from 1 species
GACGAACGCUGGCGGCGUGCUUAACACAUGCAAGUCGAACGGAAAGGCCCUGCUUUUGCGGGGUGCUCGUGUGGCGCACGCGUGAGUAACACGUGUGUAUCCUGUCCUUGUCUUUGGGAUAACUUCAGGAAACUGGGGCUAAUAUCGGAUAUGAUCUCCUGCAGCAUGUUGGUGGUUGGAAAGUUUCGGCUGUUGGGGAUGGACUAGCGGCAUAUCAGCUUGUUUGUCGAGUAGUGGCUUACCAAGGCUUUGACGGGUAGGCUGCCUGAGAGGGUGACCGGCCACAUUGGGACUGAGAGACGGAGCAGACUGCUACGGGAGGCAGCAGUGGAGAAUAUUGCACAAUGGGCGGAAGCCUGAUGCAGCAACGCCGCGUGCGGGAUGACGGCUUUCUGGUUGUAAACCACUUUCGCAUGUGACGAAGCGUGAGUGACGGUAAUGGAUAAAGAAGCACCGGCUAACUACGUG